CCAAAUACAAGUCCUCCCCUGCCACUUGUCCUCAGUGGAAAGAUCUUUCUAGGACCAUUUCUUAUAAUUUUGUUAGGAAGGAAAUGAAUUCAGUAAAAAAGAAAAGGGGUGGAUACAUUUGUUGCAAAAUUCUGAACACGCAUGAGAAUGAGAGAAUGUGAACCUUAAUAUUCCACGCGAUGUCAACACAGUCAUGGGAUGUCACGGGCCGUGUAACUCUUUGGAAUCAUAGUCGUCCAGGCUGUAUGAUUAAGCCGUGUAGCUCAUUGUUUUCGUUGUCAAAUCAUGUAUGAAUUUCGUAAUAUUAUAGAGUAGCAGACACAUGCAGAUGCGAGAUGGCCAGUUAAAAAGGUUUAACUCUUAUGAGUAGGACGACAAAGAAAUUUACUUGUCCGCGCGACAAAAGUUAAUGCCGAAGCGCUUCUCUUUCCAACUAGGAUCUGGUAAACAGCAACACACGUGACUUGGAGACCACUUCCAGGACAUAAUCGUCAAUACAUAACAAAAACUCCCAUUGGCUGCCAAAAAUCCCAAAUAAUUGGAAAAUUGAAACUCUCUCUUUCUUCCCUGCCAUUCAAUCCAAACAAGUGAACGAAAGGGAAAGAGCGUCAUCAAAUGCCAAAUUACAGUUUGUUUAUUUGUCUGUCUGCAAGCAAUUCUUUUGGAGCCUAUUUGGCUGUGACUUCAAACUUUUUCUCAUUUCUGAAACAACGAAUAUUCCUUUUCAAGGUCACAAUCUAAAGGAAACACAUUAACAGCAAAAUGAAGAUUCUUUGUUUCUCUGUUUAGCGACUCAAUUUCUCCUUUUCUAAUAUCAGGUGGUUAUGCUUUUUAUUGUUUUCUUCUCAGUUCUUGUUGGGAUUCCACAAUUGGAAGUUCUGCUAAACGUUUGCGUUGUAAAGAUAUCAUCUUUUUCUCCAUGCAUUCUAGUUGCAUUGCUGAGCUUUAUUUAUUUUUGCAUGAAUUGACAUAACAAUUUCAGGUUUGAAACAAGCUGGAAUGUGAUAGCUUAAUUAUUCAUCAUUUUGUAUAUCUCAAUUGUUGCAAUUUGUUUUACUAUAUUCUGAUUCUAGGAAUGUUUGCUUGCAUGAUCUUUUGUUUGUUUAGUCUUUCUCUGUUGGUUCAGUCUUUACUAUUGGGAUCACAUUGAGCUUGAUCCAUGGAAUUGCAAGGCUUGGAAGUUGGUUCUGGGCCUCAAUUUCAAGUCUGUAAUGUGUUUUCUCUACAAUCAAAUGAAUUCCAAUGCAAAAGAAUUCUUUGGCCUUCCACUUUAUGGAACCAAUCGAACAGUACAAGGUUUUUUUUUUAUCUGAUUAAUCCCUUUUUUUUUUUUUGAACUGGGAUUCCUUUUAUUAGUCUUUGUAAUGAAGGAUGAGAACUAACAACAUAGCAUCUGUAUUUAGUACUCUGGUGUUAUAUACUAAGUUAAUCUGACCUUUUAUUGAAACUACCUUCAGUAAUGAACUCUUCAUAUUAUAUAUGUUUUCAUGCAGGUAUUUCUAAUUUGUCGCACUAGUUUCGGGCAUAAAAAUUUGAGACUUCUGAAAUUGGCCUUAGCUUUGGAUACGGGAAAAAAAAGGAAAUAGAAAAGAAAUCAUGGGGAACAAUUGGUUGAUUUUCAUGAAUCCAGAUGAUGGAUGUCCAUACAUCUUCCCUAUAGAACCCCUUUUAUCACAAAGUCUCUUGGGUCAUACUUUUUCCCAGUUGAAUUCAUUUGUGGACAAUUCUCUACACCAAUCUAGAUUCUUAUACAUUCCUGGAAGCAUGGCUUUUCAAGAAGCUCUUAACUGCAUGUCAAAGCUUGCUGGUGCUUUACUUUUUUGGUUCACGAGUACAUCCAGUUCAAAUUUGACACAACAAAUAUCAGGCAAUCAACAGGGACCAAGGCCUGGAAGCAGUCAGUCUCUUACCCAAGUUAAGCACAUUACAUCCACUAAACGAAAUCUUACUGGUUUUCGCUUCGGCUUUAGAUCAAAGGGAGAAUCUUCCUCUCCUGUGGUUUUUGGUAAGAUUUCGAGUUUCAUGAUGAGGCUGCUCUGCAGAGAAGCUGAAAGACUUCAAUCAUUCCCAGUGCUCUCAUUAGCUGCUGCUUUGGUUCCACCAUUUGAAAACUUAGCUUCAAAGGUGUUCGCUGUUCCAUUGGAGAAUGGUGAUGUACAAGCGCAUGGAUCCAUAGAUCAAAGGCCCUGUGAAGUUGGGCCACAUGGAUGUUUAGGCUUCUCAUUUAAUGACUUAAAUUGGACAAGUCAUGCUGUUGAGCCUAGAACUGGCAUUGAGUUUCCUGUGAUUUUGGACAACAUUUUAGCUGAAAAGCAAAAAUCUAGUUUAGCUUCAGAGGUAAAUAUCAAAUUUCCAUUGUUGCCUUGGUACCUAGUUUUCUCAUCUUCAAUAACAAUGCUCCAUCCGUACUCCCUACCUUGAGCUCUUCUAUUUGUUCAUUGCUUUCUUAUAAAUGCAAUUUCUUGAUUUGAUGUACUUUCUGACAAAUUGAUGGAUUUGGUGACCCAUAAACCUUCUGAAAAUCACUGCACCCUUUUUAAAAGGAAACCCUUCUUGAAUUGUAGGCUAGGUGUGUAAAUUAAGCCCUUCAUAAACCUUAGUUUGUUUUGCUGUCAGCUAUAGGGGCUGGUUAGCGCCAAGUAUGAUUUGCUUGAAUAAGUUAUUUAUUUUCUGAUUGGUACUUCAUCAGGAUAUCCUUACUUGGUCAGUGCUCUUGUUUGAUUACUAUGAUUUCCAUGGUUUGGCUUCAUUUGCAAACUUCUUAGCACGAGGUCUUUAUAAAUGGCAUUCAUCUCCAUUUUUGACAUGCAUAUUUCUUGUAGAGCAUUUCUAACUCCUGAGCCUUUACUAUGAACAACUUCUGCAUGCUUUUUCAGGUACUGGUUGGAACUGGAUCCAGAACUAUGAAAGUAAUCAAAAUAAAGUCACUGAAGAUUUAUGCAUUUGGUUUUUAUGUCCAUCCUAACUCUGUCUGUGAGAAAUUGGGUCCAAAGUAUGCUUUUGUUCCUUCUGAUGAAUUACAUAAAUGCCGCAGCUUCUAUGAGGAUCUUCUGAGGGAGGAUAUUGGCAUGACUGUUCGGCUUGUCAUUAACUGCAGUGGGAUGAAUAUCAAUACAGUGAAAAAGUAAGUCAAAUGUUGUUCACAUAUAUACUUUUAAAAAAAAAAGUGGAUUUUGGUGUCUGAUUGCAGCAACUCCCUUGGAGUGAGCUGGACAUUCUCAGUAAGUACAAUACUACAAUUUGGGGAAAAAAAAAUGAACUAUCUUAAGCUUAAGAUCUUUGCCAUCCAUAUAUCAUAUUUUAGUAGUUCAGUUCUGAAGGUAUUUUAGGGUUCACUUGGGGAGAUUGAAAAUGUGAGCCUUAACAUCUGCUGGCUUACUUUUCUGAUCUGAUAACAGGACCGUCUUCCUUUUAGCUGUCUUAUUUGCUUCACUUUCAAAGCAUUCCUUUAUCCGAAUGGUCUUUUGGGCCACUAAUAAAAUAGGUUGGGUCUCAGUUCAGGUUCUGAAGACUACAUGAGUUGAAUUCUAGCUUAAUUGUAUCUUUAUGUUAAAUUAUUUACAUGUCCAACCACAUAGAUCUUCAGUAGGUUUGCCUCUGCAUGGCAGAGGCGCGGAGCUAUAAACUGCUCAUUCCAAGUCAUAGAUGCUUAGGUUCUGAUUAUUGAUGCUGAGAAAUAAGCUUCAACAGCUAUUCAAGUGUUUAGUUUUAUGUGUGUGCAGUGCUUUCGAGAAAUCACUUCGAGCCCGUUUACUGAAGGUAAAUUAUUUGACUGGUAAAAUUUUUUUUUUGGUUUAUUCCUAUUAUCUUGAAAUGGAAGGAAAAAAAUUGGCUUGUAAUAUUCUUACUCUUAUUGAUUUAUUAUAGACAAACCCUGACACUGAUUACAGUUGUGUGAGAGCAUUUGGUUCAUUCUUCACAAAAGAUAUUCCACUACCUUCGGGAACAACUGUUGAUUUUCGUCGGACAGCUGAUGGGCAACUAAUAACUGAAAUUGGAGGUCAGAAGAUUGGAGCAGUCCAUAGCAAGGAAUUAUGUAGGGCUUUCUUUGACAUGUAUAUUGGAGAUAUCCCCGUGUCAGAGCAAACAAAGGAAGAGAUUGGCAAUAAUGUAGGCAGUAUUAUCAGGAGGUGCUUACCCAAUUAACUGUAACAUUUCCAUUGUCUCGGUUUUUAAAUGAGCAAUUGGUUAAUGAUGCAAUAUACUUCUGGGUGGCCUGCCAUAUGACUGCGUGGUAACGGUUCAUUGAUGAUACGCUUGAAGAUCUGGUCGUGGCUCAGCUAUGUGAAAUUUGUUUCCUGGAGGAGCACAUCCUGGAAAUCAAUGAAUUGCUGGAGCCUUUUGAUGUGCUUAGGCAUAGGUAUAGUUUAUGGAAAUUUGACACUCCAAAAAGGGUGGAGGAAAAGGAAAAAAAGAAACAAAAAACUGCUUGUGAUUCUUUGUUACAUGUAUGGGGAUUUCCAGCUUGGAUG
rnacentral:misc_RNA from 1 species